UCGAGCGAGAAAGCCCUUCGGGGUGAGUAGAGCGGCGGACGGGUGAGUAACGCGUAGGAAUCUACCCAGUGGUGGGGGACAACAUGUGGAAACGCAUGCUAAUACCGCAUACGCCCUUCGGGGGAAAGCGGGGGACCUUCGGGCCUCGCGCCAUUGGAUGAGCCUGCGUAAGAUUAGCUAGUUGGUGGGGUAAAAGCCUACCAAGGCGACGAUCUUUAGCUGGUCUGAGAGGAUGAUCAGCCACACUGGGACUGAGACACGGCCCAGACUCCUACGGGAGGCAGCAGUGGGGAAUAUUGGACAAUGGGGGCAACCCUGAUCCAGCCAUGCCGCGUGUGUGAAGAAGGCCUUAGGGUUGUAAAGCACUUUCAAUUGGGAAGAAAAGCUGAUGCUUAAUACGUAUCAGCCCUGACAUUACCUUUAGAAGAAGCACCGGCUAACUCCGUGCCAGCAGCCGCGGUAAUACGGAGGGUGCGAGCGUNNAUCGGAAUUACUGGGCGUAAAGCGCGCG
rnacentral:rRNA from 1 species